rnacentral:rRNA from 1 species
AACGAACGCUGGCGGCAGGCUUAACACAUGCAAGUCGAACGCCCCGCAAGGGGAGUGGCAGACGGGUGAGUAACGCGUGGGAAUCUACCUAGUUCUACGGAACAACAGUUGGAAACGACUGCUAAUACCGUAUACGCCCUACGGGGGAAAGAUUUAUCGGAAUGAGAUGAGCCCGCGUAAGAUUAGCUAGUUGGUGAGGUAAUGGCUCACCAAGGCGACGAUCUUUAGCUGGUCUGAGAGGAUGAUCAGCCACACUGGGACUGAGACACGGCCCAGACUCCUACGGGAGGCAGCAGUGGGGAAUAUUGGACAAUGGGCGCAAGCCUGAUCCAGCCAUGCCGCGUGAGUGAUGAAGGCCUUAGGGUUGUAAAGCUCUUUCACCGAUGAAGAUAAUGACGGUAGUCGGAGAAGAAGCCCCGGCUAACUUCGUGCCAGCCGCCGCCGUAACAC